GAAGAGGGGGACAGGCAGCAUCACUCUCUCCUCAUAGGCGUGACUGCUGGGGGGAUGGGGCGGUGGGGGAGCUUAAAUGUUUGAUGAGUCAGUUUCAGCUUUUUUAUUUUGGAGAGUCUGCUGAGGCGGGAGCGGGCUGGAUUACCAUGAAGUGCUCCUAAUUUGCACAGAGAGAUAAGGAGCUCAUCAUAAGUGAGAGAGGGGGACUGUUAUUUCCAUGCAGCUGCGGCAGGCUGGUCCUAGGCUUGCUCAGCCUGCAGUCUGGGCUCCUGCUGCUGAAGGGACAGAAGGCGGAUGUUGGGAAGAACUUCCUAAGGAAGCAUCAAGAGGGGCCUGUGCGAUCCUAGUCUCAGGUGGCCUUUAGGGAGGGGCUCUGCCCAAAGUCCUCUUUCUGGGCCCUGAGCCUCCGUAGACCCUAGCUUUGGGAGGUUGACUGACCUGAUAGGGAGGGACAAGUUGCUGAACUUUCUCAGGCUUGGAUGGAGCUCGAGUGGGCAGCAGAGAGGUCAAGGGGACCUCAUUCUGGUGGACAAGCUCCUGGCAUCUGAGCAAGAUGAGAAGACUGAGGCUGAAGAGGUGGCGCAGGGUCACACAGAGCAGGGAUGGGAACCACAUCCGGCUGACGCCAGCUCCCUGGGUUCUGGACCGCUUGGGAUGUCAGUGAGUCCACCUGCUCUGGCGAGGCCUGUGCUGGGCUCCGGAGAAGAGCCGUGAGCAGGGCAGAUGCGGUCCUGGCUCGCUCAGACCUUCGGCAAUCUGGCGUGGGUGAGGUAGCCUUGGGGACUCAGGUGGCUUUGCGGGUCCCUGAGCGACUGCUGGCGAGGGUGGGGUCAGGAAGGGGUAGUGUCCAGCACUUCCGCCUUCAGUGUCCCUGCUGCUAGCGGUUUUUUUGCCCCGUAAGUGUGUGUAAGGCAAUUUUGCCCUAAAAGGAUGAGAAGAUAACUGGUUGACGGUUUGAUUUGACAGUUUGUUUUCAUUUCUCCGCGGACCCAGUCCCCCCCCCCCCCCCCCAUGUUUAUACCACAGAGAUCUCAGCCCUCGUGAUCGUCUGGAUUGUGGUGCAGAGUUUGAACUCACAUCUGCCAGACAGCUUUGGAACGUCUAUCAAGGGACGUGCGACAAUAUCCCAAGAACAAACAAUAGCGCAGAAGGCUUUCAUGUUGCAAUGCGAACCUCAUUUGCAAACACGCAUCCUAGUUUUUGGAAACGGGUUUUUUCUCUUAGGAAGGAAGAAAUUUUAGGGAGAAUCGAAGGCGUGUGACGCUGCACAGAACGAUGAACCCACAGGCAAAGAGACACGUGCAAUACUCCAACCCAAAGGCUCCGAAGACAAGUGUGAAGGCAGGGCACAAGGUUGGUGUAUACAUCUAAGGUGGCACCAGAAGUCAUGGAUCCAUGUACAUCAACUGGCUCUCACCAAGAAGUGACAGAAGCCUCAAAACCCAAUAAAGCCAAAUCUCUGAGCAGGGGAGCCAUGAACAGGUACAUCAAGGGGCUGAUGAUAGAGCCUCAGGAUGUGUGACGGGAAGGCCAAUUAGCUUCUGGGGUAUCCGGCCCCAGAGAGGAGGCAGGAGUGUGUGGUGGGCAAGAAUGCAGACUUCAAGGUCAGAUAAAUUUUGGUUCUCAUCUGGACUCCUCUACUUACUCCCUGGACGGCCCAGGCAAGCUUAGUGAUUUCUCUGAGCCUUGGUUUCCUCUUCCAUACAAUGGGAAUAAUAAUGUUAUUAGUUGUCUAUUGCUGCAUAACAAAUGCCACUCCCCGCCCCCCCCCCCCAAUUUAGUAGCUGAAAACCAUAUAUAUUUAUUGUUUUGCAGAUUUGGGGGGUCAGGUAUCCAGGAGUGGCUUAGCUGAGUCCUCUGCUCGGGGUCUGUUACAGUGAACGGGCUGCAGUUUCACGUCAAUGUCAUGGGCUGUAGUUUCAUCCGAAGGCUGUGCUGGGGAAGGGCCCACUUCCUAACCCAUGCGCAGGAUGCUGGCAGCGUUCGAUUCCUCCAGGGCUGUCAGACUGAGGGUCUCAGUUCCCCACUGGUGGUUGGCUGCAGGCUGCCCUCGGUUUCUUGCCACGUGGGCCUUUCCAGCUUGCUUCGUGACGAAUUGCCAGAGAGAGAGAGAGAGGGCAAAUGAAGUCACAGUCUUUUAUAACCCAGUCCCAGAAGCACGAGGCCAUCACCUUUGCCCUAUUCUGUUAUUACUCAUGAGAAGCAACUCACCAGCCCACACUCAAGGUGAAGGGAUUGUUACACAAGGUGUUAUUAUGUGACUACCAGGAGAUGGGGAUCAUUGGGAUCCAUCUCAGAAUACAAUAAUAUCUAUUUUGGGGGAACGUCAUAAAGAGUAAAUGAGAGUCUGCACGUAUGUAAUCAGCGUGGCACCUGGCACACAGGAUCUGCUCAAUACAGUGAUUGUUGUUAUUUUGUCGUUGUUAUUCUCAAAGCCGUUCUGGGCUGAGGCUGAGAUAGGACAGAGCCCAACAACCCACCCCAUCUCCACGCAGUCAAAUCCUGUGUAUCCCUGGGCUCGCCCCAGUGCUCCAGGAAGCUUUCUCCCAGUCAGCUGUGAACUGUACUUCCUUGAAUGUCCCCUCCUUGUUUGCAGGGAAGGGAGCACCCACCCCUGGCUGGGCUGACGGUCACCAACACCCCACUAGCAUCGUCUAUCUCAUAGACCUUGGCGGUGGUGGGACUACAACGUUUGAGGUUUACAGAUUUCUGAGGUAUAGCAGCGGAAGGGUUACACACACACACACACACACACACACACACACACACACACAUAUUUAAUCUGGAAGUUAAAAAUUGUGAAGUUUGCAUUAUUACAAAAUAAAUAGAACUGUGACUUCUGUUUCACAAUUUCUGUAGUUCCUUUAUGUCCCUUUGGCAGUGCUGGCGUGUUGCUGACAGAUACAGGAUUUCCUCUCCCUCUGGGAAAUCGGAGGGGGGGGGUCAUGUGACACCUUCCCACUCUGAGUGCUCUGCUUGUUAAAGAUGAGGGAACCACCACUCAGGUGAUUGGUCCAAGAUCACAACACAGUGGAACCAGGAUUUGGUUCUCUGGUUCUAAGCCCAUGCAUGGUCUUUAUGUUAUAUUGGUUCAUCCAUUUAUUCAGGAAGCAUUGUUUAGUCUCAGCGAUGCGCCAGCCUCUGUGCCAGGUACUAGGAAUAGAGUGAUGAGUACGUUUUUGUGCCAGGUCUAAAAUGUCCUGAAUGUUCCCCUUCUCUCCUACUUCCAUUGGAUUAUAGCUUUUCCAAACAGAGCCCCCACUUUCUCAACAUCUCUCCUUCUCUGUGUCUACCACAUGCUUUUGAAUUUGAAGUGGGACUAUAUUUAAGGCGAGGUUCUAUCAGCCAUUGGUUUGGGUGGAAAUGUAGCAGGAAAUGGCUUUAAGGUCCCAAGGGAGAAGGAUCUGACCAGAUAUAGAUUUGGAUGAAAGGUGGUCAGAGGCCCCGGAGGAAAAUGAGGAAUGAGGUCUAUAGAUUAAAGCAACUGAGUAACUUUUAACAGCAGCCCCUUCUCUCUGCCUGGAUAGCCCCAGACCUCUCCCCUCUCCCCUCUCCCCUCUCCCCUCUCC